UGGUUGAUCCUGCCAGACCCAACUGCUAUAUCCAGGGUAAGACUAAGCCAUGCAAGUCGAACGCGCGGAACAUGUCUCCGCUGCGUGGCGAACUGCUCAGUAACACGUCGCUAAUCUACCCUGUAGUGGGGGACAAUCACGGGAAACUGUGGCUAAUACCCCAUAGAUGAUUUGUUGUGGAAUUCAUAUUUCAUCAAAAGGACCCUGAGACUAUGUGAUGGGUUCCGCUACAGGAUGAGGCGGCGGCGGAUUAUAUCAGAUGGCGGGGUAAUGGCCCACCAUAGUGAUGAUCCGUAUGGGCUCUGAGAGGAGUAGCCCAGAGAUGGGAACUGAGACACCGUCCCAAGCCCUACGGGGCGCAGCAGGCGCGAAAACUAUGCAAUACGCGAAAGCGUGACAUGGUAACCCUGAGUGCCGGGAUAGUCCUGGCUUUUAUUCAGCGUAAAAAACUGGAUGAAUAAGGAGAGGGCAAGGCUGGUGCCAGCCGCCGCGGUAAAACCAGCUCUUCGAGUGGUUGGGACUUUUAUUGGGCCUAAAGCGUGCGUAGCCGGACCCGUAAGCCCCUGGUUAAAUCCGACAGCUCAACUGUCUGGGCCGCUAGGGGUACUGCGGGUCUUGGAGGCGGGAGAGGUGAGCGGUACUUCAUGGGUAGGGGUGAAAUCCUGUCAUCCAUGGGGGACCACCGAUGGCGAAGGCAGCUCACUAGAACGCGCUCGACGGUGAGGCACGAAACCCAGGGGAGCGAACCGGAUUAGAUACCCGGGUAGUCCUGGGCGUAAACGAUGCUAGCUAGGUGUUUGCCAAGCCUCGAGCUUGUCAAGUGCCGAAGGGAAGCCGUUAAGCUAGCCGCCUGGGGAGUACGGUCGCAAGACUGAAACUUAAAGGAAUUGGCGGGGGAGCACCGCAAGGGGUGAAGCCUGCGGUUCAAUUAGACCCAACGCUAGGAAACUUACCGGGGGCGACAGCAGAAUGAAGGCCAGAUUGACGCUCUUGCCAGACAAGCUGAGAGGCGGUGCAUGGCCGUCGGCAGUUCGUGCCGUGAGGUGUCCUGUUAAGUCAGGCAACGAACGAAACCCACGCUCCUAGUUGCCCAUUAAUCCCCUCAGGGAUUAACGCACACUAGGAGGACUGCCCGCUCAAGUGGGAUGAAGGUGUGGGCCACGGCAGGUCAGUAUGCCCCGAAUCCCCCGGGCUACACGCGGGCUGCAAUGAUGGGGACAGUGAGUUGCGACUCCGAGAGGAGAAGCUAAUCUCUAAACCCCAUCGUAGUUGGGAUCGUGGGUUGUAACUCACCCACGUGAACAUGGAAUCCCUAGUAAUCGCGUGUCACCAUCGCGCGGUGAAUACGUCCCUGCUCCUUGCACACACCGCCCGUCGCUGCACCUGAGUCUGCUCUGGGCGAGGCCCGGUCGUUUGUUCGGCCGGUUCGAACCUGAGGUAGGCGAGGGGGCAGAAGUCGUAAC
rnacentral:rRNA from 1 species